AUUGAACGCUGGCGACAUGCUUUACACAUGCAAGUCGAACGGUAACAGGUCUUCGGAUGCUGACGAGUGGCGAACGGGUGAGUAAUGCAUCGGAACGUGCCCAGUCGUGGGGGAUAACGCAGCGAAAGCUGCGCUAAUACCGCAUACGAUCUAUGGAUGAAAGCGGGGGACCGUAAGGCCUCGCGCGAUUGGAGCGGCCGAUGUCAGAUUAGGUAGUUGGUGGGGUAAAGGCACACCAAGCCAACGAUCUGUAGCUGGUCUGAGAGGACGACCGCCCACACUGGGACUGAGAAACGGCCACGACUCCGAUGGGAGGCAGAAGUGGGGAAUUUUGGAAAAUGGGCGCAAGCCUGAUCAAGCAAUGCCGGGUGCAGGAAGAAGGCCUUCGGGUUGUAAACUGCUUUUGUACGGAACGAAACGGCUCUCUCGAAUACAGGGGGCUAAUGACGGUACCGUAAGAAUAAGCACCGGCUAACUACGUGCCAGCCGCCGCCGUAAUAC
rnacentral:rRNA from 1 species